rnacentral:rRNA from 1 species
UACGGAGGGUGCGAGCGUUAAUCGGAAUUACUGGGCGUAAAGCGCACGUAGGCGGUUGCGUAAGUCGAUUGUGAAAGCCCCGGGCUUAACCUGGGAAUUGCAGUCGAUACUGCGCAGCUAGAGUGUGGUAGAGGGAAGUGGAAUUCCGGGUGUAGCGGUGAAAUGCGUAGAUAUCCGGAGGAACACCAGUGGCGAAGGCGGCUUCCUGGACCAACACUGACGCUGAGGUGCGAAAGCGUGGGGAGCAAACAGGAUUAGAUACCCCCGUAGUCC